CAAUAGCGUAUAUUAAAGUUGUUGCAGUUAAAAGCUCGUAGUUGGAUUUGUGGUGUGUCCAGUCGGCCUUUGCUCUUUGAGUGAUUGUGCUGUUACUGGUCUGCCAUGUUUGGGUGGAAUCUGUGUGGCAUUAAGUUGUCGUGCAGGGGAUGCCCAUCGUUUACUGUGAAAAAUUAGAGUGUUCAAAGCAGGCUAUUACGCCUGAAUAUUCGUGCAUGGAAUAAUAGAAUAGGAAGUCGUUUCUAUUUUGUUGGUUUUCGGAAAUCGACUUAAUGAUUAAUAGGGACAGUCGGGGCAUUUGUAUUCAAACGACAGAGGUGAAAUUCUUGGACCGUUUGAAGACAAACUACUGCGAAAGCAUUUGCCAAGAAUGUUUUCAUUAAUCAAGAACGAAAGUUAAAGGUUCGAAGACGAUCAGAUACC
rnacentral:rRNA from 1 species